CCUGGGGCCGCGCAUCGUCCGCCGCCGCUGUCUCCGGGCCCGCGAUCAGCUCUGGGCAGCCGGCCGUCGGUCCGUGCGCCCCUGGCCGUCGCCCUCUUUGCCUCCCCUCUUCUCUCAUCCCAAAUUUGAGGCUCCAAAUUGGAAGGAAGGUAUUGGAAGGAAGAGAUUUGCAGCUGCUGGUCUAAAAGGGAUGCAGGCCAAAACCCAACUGCCUUGGUGUGAUGCAAAUGGCCCUUGUGACUUGGGAUAAAGUUUCCAGUGGCUGAAUCAUAUGUGGAUUCAAAUUGUGCUGUGUCCUAUUCCAAACUCUUCACUUGGACUGGAGAAAAAGAAGGUCAUCAAUUUUGAGAAAAUGGGUCGUGAUCCCCAGGGUCCUGAGAUUGAGCCCAUCAGGAUCCUUGCUCCAUGGGGAACCAGCUUCUCCCUCUGCCUCUGCCCCUCCCCUUCCCCUGUUAGUGUUCUCUCUCUGUUUCUCCCUCAAAUAAAUAAGUAAGCAAAUUUUUAAAAAGAAAAUUUAUA